rnacentral:rRNA from 1 species
AGAGUUUGAUCCUGGCUCAGAGUGAACGCUGGCGGCGUGCCUAAUACAUGCAAGUCGAACGAUGAAGCUCUAGCUUGCUAGAGUGGAUUAGUGGCGCACGGGUGAGUAAUGCAUAGAUAACAUGCCCUUUAGUCUAGGAUAGCCAUUGGAAACGAUGAUUAAUACUGGAUACUCCUUACGAGGGAAAGUUUUUCGCUAAAGGAUUGGUCUAUGUCCUAUCAGCUUGUUGGUGAGGUAAUGGCUCACCAAGGCUAUGACGGGUAUCCGGCCUGAGAGGGUGAACGGACACACUGGAACUGAGACACGGUCCAGACUCCUACGGGAGGCAGCAGUAGGGAAUAUUGCUCAAUGGGGGAAACCCUGAAGCAGCAACGCCGCGUGGAGGAUGAAGGUUUUCGGAUUGUAAACUCCUUUUGUUAGAGAAGAUAAUGACUGUAUCUAACGAAUAAGCACCGGCUAACUCCAUGCCAGCAGCCGCGGU